rnacentral:ncRNA from 1 species
AAUGCUUCAGAAAUGCAAAAUUUUGAUCCACACUAAUUCCAAGAUAUUCUAAUACUCAAACCAAGAAUUGAGUGGUAUAGGUGAAAUGCCUAUAUGCCUCUGGCCAAAAAAAGCCGUUUAAGAGAGCGUUCAAGGCCCAUGGACGGUGUGAGGCCAGUAGCGGCCCCUGGCGCACCAGGCCUGGGUCUUCCUGGAGUCAGGUUGCUUGGGAAUGCAGCCCAAAGCGGGUAGUAAACUCCAUCUAAGGCUAAAUACUGGCACGAGACUGAUAAUCAACAAGUACCAUAAGGGAAAGUUGAAAAGAACUUUGAAGAGAGCAGAAGAUAAUCUAUUUC